GUGUGUAUGUGAGUGUGAGAGUGGUACUGUGUCUGUGGCCUCUGUGUGAGUGGGAGUGUGCGUGUGUGUGUUUGCAUGUGUGUGUGUGCUUAUGAGUGCUGCCAUGUGUCUGCUGCCUCUGUGUGAGUGGGGGUGUGCAUGUGUGUGUUUGCGUGUGUGUGUGCUUGUGAGUGCUGCUGUGUGUCUGCUGCCUCCAUGUGAGUGGGAGUGAGCGCUGGAGCAUCUGAACUCCUGGUCCCCCCAGCGGGGACUCUCCCGCCUCCUGUUGGAGGACGCCGGAUGGGUGCUCCCCUGGGAGGGAUGAGGCAGCCUGUCUCCAGCCCUGCUUGCACCAGUGCAUGCACAUGGACCCCCUCAACCUUCCCUGAAGUCCAGAAGGGAGGCCUUGCUAGGGAUCCUGUGGUUCCCCUUCCACAGAUCUCAGGGCUCCUGGAAAGCCCAGGAAAUUCGAGCACACCAAGGAACAGACUGUGCCCCCUCUGCUUUCCAGGCCUCCAUGCAUUAUCCU
rnacentral:lncRNA from 1 species